GGAGGGGUGGCCGAGCGGUUGAAGGCACCUGUCUUGAAAACAGGAGUAGUGAAAGCUACCGCAGGUUCGAAUCCUGUCCCCUCCGCCA
rnacentral:tRNA from 2 species